CAUAUGGAGGUACCCAGGCAACGGGUCUAAUUGGAGCUGUAGCUGCUGGCCUACACCACAGCCACAGCAGCACAGGAUCCAAGCCGUGUCUGCAGCCUACACUACACCUCACGGCAACACGGCAACACUGGGUCCCCAACCCACUGAGCAAGGCCAGGGACCGAAUCCACAACCUCAUAGUUCCUAGUUGGAUUCAUUAACCACUGAGCAACGAUGGGAACUCCAUUUCUAUUUUUUGUUAAGUCACUCAGUUUUUAGUAUUUUGUUAUAGUGGCCUGAAAAGACCCAGACAAUAAAAAAUACAAAUUUUAUAAAUAGAGUAUAAGCCAGCUAAAUCAUCUCUCUUUUGGAGAUAAAUUGCCAUUUUGUGUAUCAAAAACAGUUAAAGAAUAAACAUGUCAUGAGUUUCAACUGAAUAAGAAGGCAGACUUCAAAUUUUAUUUAAAUUAUUUAUCAAAUAACAAGAAUUAUUUUGCUUGUAAAUGAAGAGUGAAUAAUAAAAUAUUUACAUAAAAAUGUGAUCUGAAUACUUUUAUUUAAAGCAGAGUGUUCAAAUCUGAACAUCCAAAUCAAUUAAUGAGAAUAUGGAUUUCUCUGGCCCUCUUCCUCUCCAAGGAAACAAACUAAGAUCUAGAUUUUAUUUCAGGACAAUAUCAAAAGCAAAGUCCCAAGUACAGUCAAGCGUAAGGAAACAUUCACCACUAUGUAUUUAAAUCACUGGACAAUGAGCAUUAGUGUUCAGAAUUAUGAUUCUGUGUCAUGCCCAAUUUUGUAAUGAGAUGAUUUAAUUACCACUGCUACACCCUUCUUCCUAAGGAAAAAAAAGAAGUCUUAAAUGCAUAUUAAAAUAUACUCAAGGAGGGUCAAAACAGCAGGUUUUCCUGCUUAACCUGGAGUUAAUUGAAUUAAUGAGAACAACCCAGUCACUAUCUUUUUUAACCACCUGGGCUCUCUUGUUUGAUUUGUAUUAGCUUAAAAUACCUUUAAUCUUCACACUAUAUCCUUACCAACUGGAAGUAAUGAUCACUCACCCCUGACUGAAGUAGAAUUAACAACAUAAAAGAAAAAAAAACUGUAAAUAAACAAAUAUAAACAUAGUAUAUCAACUCAGCAGAGCAAUUCCCAGGCAUGAGUUUAUCGUCAUAAGGGUUACAUACAGGAAAUUUAAGUAGGGAUUUCUCUGGACAGGAUAUUUGUGGGAAGCAAAACUUGAAAGCUUCCAAAGCCAGUUUGAUUGACUCCCAGCUUUAUCCCACUGUGUGUCUACAGGAGCUCAACUCCACAGACCUAUUGAUUUAGGUAAUCUCUGCAUGGAUGGAAAUCCUCCUUUCAGCAGCUUCUCCAGAGUCUGGCCAGAGGAAGUUGAUUGGUUAAAGCCCUAAAGUCUUCCUGACAUAAAACUUGAGAAGGAAAGCUUAUAUUCUCUCAAGUCUCUGCUGACUGUCCUUAUCCUGUGAAAUCAAAAUGAUGAGAGAUGGAAAGUAGUUUAAGAAAAAAGUACAACUGAAUUUGAGAAGCAGCAUAAGACUCAGGGCUUCUUUGCCUUUGAAAGACUAUGAACAAAUGGUUAGAGGAUCACAUGAUGAUAUUGAACAGUGCUGUUACUGUUUAGAGGUAGACUCUUCCAAAUGCUUCCACGUGUGCACCUAAUAUGAUCUGUCACAUCAACCUCAUCAGGUAGGCAGAGGAGAUUUUUUCUUCCCCAGAGAAGUAAGGUUGGAGUCAAAACUAGCAUUCAAAUAAGUAGCCACCAUGCGCUGAUGACAUAUCGGUCCUCAAAAUCACUGUGUGAAAUGGACAGUAUCAUUCCUGUUUAAUAAAUGAACUGAUGUAUGGAGAUACCAAGGAAUUUAAAUCACUUAAUAUUUAACAGAGUUAAGGAUAAAAAGAAAUCUAAGUAGGAUAAAAAAAAUUUAAGUAUCAUGACUUGUAACACUGUGUUAAGAAGAAUUCUUCAAUAAGAGUCAAAGGCAGAACUCUAGAAGUAGAGAAAUAAACUAUAUCCUUCCUUUUAUCUACAAAGGGGAAUACUUUUAACUGUACCCAGUUACUGAUUCAUUAAAUUGAGUCCUCCCUUGACUUUAAGGAAUAUAGGAACUAACACAUAUCAUGAGUUGAGUACAUGCCCAAUGUUUAUUAUCAGCAUUACCCUUCAACAUUGUACCCAUUUUACAAAGGAAAACACAAGGUUCAGAGAGAACUUUGCCCACGAUCUUCUUGCUGUGGGGCUGGACAAUGCCCACCACCUCACAAUGAAAAGCUUCUAUUGCAAGAACCCCAGAGCCAGAUCUUGUUUCCACCUGCCUUGUGUGAAUGUGCACGGAGGACUUGUCCUAAUUUCACACUCCAAACUGAGGUUUAGCCUAGAUCUUUUCUUUUCUUUUUUUUUGUCUUUUUCUAGGGCUGCACCCACAGCAUAUGGGGGUUCCCGGGCUAGGGGUCUAAUCAGAGCUGUAGCCGCCGGUCUAUGCCAGAGCCACGGCAAUGCGCGAUCUGAGCUUUGUCUGCAAACUACACCACAGCUGACAGCAAUGCUGGAUCCUCAACCCACUGAGCAAGGUCAGGGAUCGAACCUGCAACCUUAUGGUUCCUAGUCAGAUUUGUUAACCACUGAGCCACGAUGGGAACUCCAAGGCAACAUCUUAUACCUAACAUAGUUCCCAAAUAAUUAUUUACAGAUUUAGGAAAAUGUCAUGAAUUAGAGCCUAAAGAAAUUAACUGAAGGGAAUAUUGGAAGGAUAUCAGUGUUGGAGAAUAGAAGUUAUUUGACUACUAGGCCCCGAACCAGUUCCUAGGAGACUGAAGAAAAAGGGGAAACUAAAGCAGAAGGAAAGAAUCCUUGUUUCAUUUCCAGAAGUGAAUGUGAGAACAAUAAAAGCAACCGUGACCUGGGGCAUUCUUCUAGUUUCGGUCACCUUUUCCUUCCGAAAAGGAGAGGCCAGUGGCAUGGGCCUGUUAUGUGAUUACUAUUUAAUUUCUGACUUCUCUCUACCUACCUCAUCCAGUGAUGCUUUAUCACUUUCUAUUCCCCUGGGCAAGAGGAUCGACUAUUAGUCUGAGUUGUCUGUGGAGACCUAAGAGAAAAAACUAAUAUUCCAUGUACACAGACUUGUCAGACUGGGUUAGGAUUUACUUCUGAUAGACACGAAAGGAACAGGUGUUUCCACAUCAUUCAAAAUGUAAGAUGUGUGGCAUAUAAUGCUUCAUCUUUUUUAACUCUUUAUCUAAAAGAGAGAGAGGGAGAGCAGCAAAGGAAGAUAAAGAGAUUUAAAGAAGACUUAUGCAACUAAAGCAACAUUUUCCAGUAAGUUUUCAUAAAAAAGCUUUAUCAAAACCCUAACAUUAAGUAUACACUGCUUUGCUUUAUGCAAACAAUAUGAAUAUAUUAAUGAAGUCACAUUUAUCAUAUUAAACACUGGAUUAAACUCUCAAGUUUGUACUACUUUGACAACUCAAAAUAGCAUUUUCAGUCAUCCUUUUGUCUAAACACUGCAAUGUACUAAUGACAUCAAGAAGAAUAUUGUAAGAUACAACCAAUUUGCAACACUUUAUAUGCCAUAUAUCACAGAGCAGCUUUCAAUAUGCAAUUGAUAAAUGGUUAAUUGAAUAACAAAAUCUUUUAGACUUAAAACAUACAUGCUAAAUUUUUACUCUAGACAUUGACUAUGAAGAUACUCUCUUUCUCUCUUUCAAAUACUCCCUACUUAAAAAUACUCUCUCUGUUUCUGUUGUUAUAAACUGGUUCCUCUUUCAUCCUGAACACUGAACCAGGAGAUGAAGAAGCACGGUUGGUUUGCAGUGACUUUUCCAGGGCUCAAUCUCAAGCAGGACUUCUUCAAGUGUUUCCCUUUAAAGUGGAACUCACACAACAAUGAAUUUAAUAUUUACUUACUGGUCUUACCUACAAGAGUGGAAGUUUCUUCAAGGUAAAAAUAAUGUCAGAAUCAUUUUCAUAUUCCUAAAGCCUAUGACAGGGCCUAAUAUAUAAUAGGCAGGUAAGUCAUGACUUCUGGAUGAGUUGGACUUCUCUAAGUGUAAAUUUAGGCAAUGGAUUAGAUCCCAGAAGUCCUUUUUUAGGUAAAACAAAGACAAAAACAAAAAACAUGACUCUGUAACCAGUUUCAUUUUCAAAAUAGAGAAGGUAUACAUCAUCCUUAUGUUUCUUGGUACUUGCAUUAAUUUUGAAUUGUAAAGCACAAAUUUAGUAAAGCUGAUGAGGAAAAAAAAAGACAGCCAUGGCAAUCAGCUCUUUAUUAUUAGCAAACCAGAAAACGGUGUAAUUAAGGGAUAUGCCUGAAGGUAACAUUUUUCUGUAGACAUGUCAUCCCAAGAGAACACAAGCGAUUCUCAUUAGAAGUCAGAACUGGAAGAGAACACGGCAGUGCAAGAUACGGCAUAUGCAUUCCUUCAUUAAACAAGAGUUAUAUAUGGAUAUUAUUCAUCUGUGAACAAAGACAAAAAUAUCUGCCCUUGUGGAGAUCACAUUUUAGUGAAGGGAUAUAAAUAAAGAAGAAUAAGAAUAAACAUAUUAGGAAAGUCUCUGCACAUUAGAUGGAGAUUAACACCAUGGUAAAAGUAAAUAAAAAGCAGGCUGAGGCAUAUGGGAAGUCCUAAGAGUCAGUGUUAGAUAGAAUGGCCAGAAUGUGCCUCAAUGAGAAGGUACCAUUUGAACAAAGUCUUCAAAGGAAGGAAAGAUACUUGAGGAAGCUUUCCAAGCAAAAGUCACAGCAAAUGCAGAGAACCGAGGCAGGCAGUGUGCCCAGUGAAGACAACUGCAGGCUAAAGCAGAGUCAGCAAGAGGAGUACAAGUAGAAGAUAAAAGUCUAAAAGGUAAUAGAAUGCCAGAGGUCUUUAGCUUUUGACCUGAGAGAAAUGAAGAGCCAUUAGAUAGUUUUGAGCUGAAUGGUUUGAGAUUUAACAAAAUUACUCUGGCUUUUAUGUUGAGAAACGUAUAUAAAGAGGCAAAGCUAGAAGCAGGGAGACCAGUCAGAGGCUGCUAUAAUAAUGCAGGGGAGGACCAGGAGAAUAGCAGUAGGGAUAAUGAGACAUGGUUGGCUUUAGGAUAUGUUUUCACAGAAGAAUUAGAAGGAUUUGCUAAUGAAUUGAUGGAAGUCUGAGGGAAAAAGACAGUUCAAGAGUGAUUCUGAGAAUUUUCAUCUGGGGCAUUCAAGAAUGUAGUUGCCUCUAAAAGACAUGAAGUGGAUAGAAUGUAAAGCAGAUUUUUUUUUUCCUUUCCUAUCCUUUCUUUUAAAUUUCUUUUCCUGUACGUUUAGAAACUGAAAAGUUCACAUUUGUGUACAAUGAAUUUAGGAUGUCUACUGGAUAUUUUAAGUAGGCAACUGAAUUUAGAAAAUAUGGAAAUCAAGGGAUACUUUGAGUUAGAGAUAUAUAUUGAUAAGUCAUCAGCCUAUAGUUGGGAUUGCUCAAAAUCACAUGUGAUGUGCUCCCUGAGGAAACUGAUGUAGGUAAGAAGAGAAGGGAAGUG
rnacentral:lncRNA from 1 species